rnacentral:rRNA from 1 species
UAAUACGUAGGGUGCGAGCGUUAAUCGGAAUUACUGGGCGUAAAGCGUGCGCAGGCGGCCUGAUAAGUCAGAUGUGAAAUCCCCGAGCUCAACUUGGGAACUGCGUUUGAAACUAUCAAGCUAGAAUAUGUCAGAGGGGGGUAGAAUUCCACGUGUAGCAGUGAAAUGCGUAGAGAUGUGGAGGAAUACCAAUGGCGAAGGCAGCCCCCUGGGAUAAUAUUGACGCUCAUGCACGAAAGCGUGGGGAGCAAACAGG